rnacentral:rRNA from 1 species
UACGUAGGGUGCGAGCGUUGUCCGGAAUUAUUGGGCGUAAAGAGCUUGUAGGCGGUUUGUCGCGUCUGCUGUGAAAGCUUGAGGCUUAACCUCGAGCUUGCAGUGGGUACGGGCAGACUAGAGUGUGGUAGGGGAGACUGGAAUUCCUGGUGUAGCGGUGAAAUGCGCAGAUAUCAGGAGGAACACCGAUGGCGAAGGCAGGUCUCUGGGCCACUACUGACGCUGAGAAGCGAAAGCAUGGGGAGCGAACAGG